GACGAACCGUCCAAACGUUGUUCGGAAUCACUGGGCUUAAAGGGCGCGUAGGCGGGCUGCCAAGUCCGGGGUGAAAUCCUCCAGCUUAACUGGAGAACUGCCUCGGAUACUGGAAGUCUCGAGGAGGGUAGGGGCACGCGGAACUGUGGGUGGAGCGGUGAAAUGCGUUGAUAUCCAUAGAUACUCCGGUGGCGAAGGCGGCGUGCUGGACCCUUUCUGACGCUGAGGCGCGAAAGCCAGGGGAGCAAACGGG
rnacentral:rRNA from 1 species